ensembl:lncRNA
GAGUGAUAUGAGUUUCCAUCACAGAAAAUUGAAUCCCCCAUCAGUGAAAACAGGUACAAAUAUUGAGUUGACGUAUUAUUUUUAAUGUCUGCACUCUAAUUUGAUUUCUUUGUGACAUGUACAGAGGUCUCCAGUGAACUCAGAGUACAGUGGGUGUGAAGAUGGAGGCAGAAGCAGAGCAAAAAUGCCUUUGGAUGGUGACAGUGGGACAAAAAUAGCUCAGGAGAAUUGGCAGUGGACUUUCGCUGCCAGUCAGUGACCAGUUUCCUUCAAAAUCUCAGUGGAGAGAAUCAUUUCUAAAAGGCUGGUGUGCACAGUCAGCCCAGCAGUAUUUCCAUCUGUAAGACCUUUGAUACCUUCAACAGGAGACGCUGCUUUAUUCCAAUCUGACAUUGUUUACUGAAGAUGAAGAGGAAUGUGCACACGACAUAAAUUAAUGAGAUGCUUGAGAAUACAAUGCACAGCAGCAUUCUGAAUUUCAGCAGGUCUGAUAAAGAAACACAGAUGAGACUCUGCGUGCUCGGUACACAAACAGAUUUACUGUCCCAGAAACACUUUUUAAACCAAUUUUUCUUUUUUUUUUUUUUUGGGGGGGGCAAGUUCACUGUGGCUGUGGCGCUGACAGUAGCGAGUCAGCAUUAACUGCAAAUAAAACCCAAGGAGCUGUAUUAAUUUGAUGAACGAGGCUGACUGCAGAGAUCGUAGAGGGCACCUUCUGGAAGAAUAUUAAAUAGUUGUACAUAUAAAAACGGGAAAAGACUCAACUUUGCAACCUAAAUAAAAACAGUGCCGCCUGAAUAAAGAGGCUAUAAAGUUGUACGUUAAGAGCCGUGCCAGCCGAGCAGUGACAUUUUUAGAUUCUUUACAUAAUUAUAAGUAUUUAUACUGCACUAUAAAACCCUCCAUUUCAGGUAAAAAGUACUAGCAAUGUGCACAAUUAAGCAGCACUAUCUAUUAAUCUCUGAUAUCCUGGUAUUUUAGUCCCGGUCUCAUGUUUUGUUUUAGUGUUGUUUGAUGUGAAGCACUUUGUGAUUCAUCUUGAAUCUGCUCUUUAAAUACAUUUAAAAACUCAGUUGAAGAUAUUAUUAUUUUAUCUCAACUGAUUAUUUCUUAUCGCUUUUUAACAAAACAAUGAAAUUAAAGAAAUUGCAUUUUCCCAUUUUA